rnacentral:misc_RNA from 1 species
GAUGAAAACGUAGCGAAAUGCGAUAAGUAGUGUGAAUUGCAGAAUUCAGUGAAUCAUCGAAUCUUUGAACGCACAUUGCGCCCCAUGGUAUUCCGUGGGGCAUGCCUGUUCGAGCGUCAUUUACCCCCUCAAGCUCCGCUUGGUGUUGGGCGUCUGUCCCGCUUCGCGCGCGGACUCGCCCCAAAGGUAUUGGCAGCGGUCGUGCCAGCUUCUCGCGCAGCACAUUGCGCUUCUCGAGGCACCGGUGGGCCCGCGUCCAUCAAGCUCACCCCCCCAGUUUGACCUCGGAUCAGGUAGGGAUACCCGCUGAACUUAAGCAUAUCAAUAAGCGGAGGA